GGCAGCAUGGCCGAGUGGUCUAAGGCGCUGGAAUUAGGAUUCAUCUCAUUCUCAUCCAGUCCGAAAGGGCGUGGGUUCGAACCCCACUGCUGUCA